AAAAAAAACAUAAAAACCUUUGUUUCUAAACCCCCUUUGGUCUCUUUAUCACUUUUCUCUGGCCAAUUCCCGAUCUUACACUACUCCUGUUUGUACAGGUAGGUCACCGAUUUCUUUUCAAUUCAUUCUCUUCCAGCCCUAUAUUACCCAAUUUUGCCUUUAAUUUGGUUCUAGGGUUUGCUUUUGCUUAUACAACCCUAGGAUCCGAGGAAUUUUCUCGGAUUUUAUACGAUUCAGUGGAAUUGAUCCUUAUACCCCAGAGGGGUAUAUGUAGUAUCGUGGUUCGUAUUACGCGCAUAGGCAUUCCAGGGCUUGCCUGAUCAUCAUUAGCCCUAUUAGUUGAAGGAUUGUUUAAGGGAUUCUGUAAUUUAGGCUGAUAGAGGGGAAGGGUUGUCAUUGCUUUUGCGAAGAACUGUGGAGUUCGAUGAAAGCAUGAGCGAUUUCAAGGCGGAUUUUGAUAAGGAGUCGUGUUCCAGGUCAAUAAACGAGACGGUCAAUGGGUCACACCAGUUCACGAUAAAGGGAUAUUCAUUGGCGAAAGGUAUGGGUGCUGGGAAGUGCAUAUCGAGUGAUAUUUUCUCGGUGGGAGGUUACGAUUGGGCGAUUUACUUCUAUCCGGAUGGGAAAAACCCCGAGGACAGUUCCAUGUAUGUUUCGGUGUUUAUAGCCCUCGCGAGCGAGGGAACGGAUGUCAGGGCUUUGUUCGAGUUGACGUUGGUGGAUCAGAGUGGGAAUGGGAAGCACAAAGUACAUAGCCACUUCGAUCGUGCGUUGGAGAGCGGGCCGUACACGCUGAAGUAUAGAGGGAGCAUGUGGGGCUACAAGCGUUUCUUUAGGAGGACAACUUUAGAAAAUUCCGACUAUAUAAAGGAUGAUUGUCUAGUUAUGAACUGCACAGUUGGAGUUGUCAGCACUCGUCUUGAAGGACCAAAACAGUAUUCCAUUCCUGUUCCACCUUCAGACAUGGGUCAGGGCCUUAGGGAACUCUUAGAAUCU
rnacentral:misc_RNA from 1 species